rnacentral:rRNA from 1 species
GAUGAACGCUAGCGACAGGCCUAACACAUGCAAGUCGAGGGGCAUCGGGACGUAGCAAUACGUUGCCGGCGACCGGCGGAUGGGUGAGUAACGCGUAUGCAACCUACCCGUAGCAGGGGGAUAGCCCGUUGAAAGACGGAUUAAUACCCCGUAACACAGGGGCUCCGCAUGGAGAUUAUUGUUAAAGGGUCAUUUCUUUUAGAGGUGGUCCGGCUACGGAUGGGCAUGCGUUCCAUUAGGUAGUUGGUGUAGGUAACGGCUCACCAAGCCGACGAUGGAUAGGGGAACUGAGAGGUUGGUCCCCCACACUGGUACUGAGACACGGACCAGACUCCUACGGGAGGCAGCAGUGAGGAAUCUUGGUCAAUGGACGCAAGUCUGAACCAGCCAUGUCGCGUGAAGGAGGACGGCCCUAAGGGUUGUAAACUUCUUUUGCAGCGGAAUAAAGUUUGCCACGAGUUGGCGAUUUGCAAGUACGCUGCGAAUAAGGAUCGGCUAACUCCGUGCCAGCAGCCGCGGUAAUACGGAGGAUCCGGGCGUUAUCCGGAUUUAUUGGGUUUAAAGGGUGCGCAGGCGGGGAUUUAGGUCGGCGGUGAAAUUUCGGGGCUCAACCUCGAUAGUGCCGUUGAAACCGUUUCUCUUGAGUGCGGAUGAGGUAGGCGGAAUUUGUGGUGUAGCGGUGAAAUGCGUAGAUAUCACAAGGAACACCGAUUGCGGAGGCAGCUUACUAAACCGUUACUGACGCUCAUGCACGAAGGCGUGGGGAUCAAACAGGAUUAGAUACCCUGGUAGUCCACGCAGUAAACGAUGAUUACUUGCUGUUUGCGAUACACAGUAAGCGGCGUAGCGAAAGCGUUAAGUAAUCCACCUGGGGAGUACGUUCGCAAGAAUGA